rnacentral:rRNA from 1 species
GGCGGACGGGUGAGUAACGCGUUGGGAAUGUGCCCUUCUCUACGGAAUAGCCACUGGAAACGGUGAGUAAUACCGUAUACGCCCUCAGGGGGAAAGAUUUAUCGGAGAAGGAUCAGCCCGCGUUAGAUUAGGUAGUUGGUGGGGUAACGGCCUACCAAGCCUACGAUCUAUAGCUGGUUUUAGAGGAUGAUCAGCCACACUGGGACCGAGACACGGCCCAGACUCCUACGGGAGGCAGCAGUAGGGAAUCUUGGACAAUGGGGGCAACCCUGAUCCAGCCAUGCCGCGUGAGUGAAGAAGGCCCUAGGGUCGUAAAGCUCUUUCGCCUGUGAUGAUAAUGACAGUAGCAGGUAAAGAAACCCCGGCUAACUCCGUGCCAGCAGCCGCGGUAAUACGGAGGGGGUUAGCAUUGUUCGGAAUUACUGGGCGUAAAGCGCGC